ACGAACGCUGGCGGCGUGCUUAACACAUGCAAGUCGAACGGAAAGGCCCUGCUUUUGUGGGGUGCUCGAGUGGCGAACGGGUGAGUAACACGUGAGUAACCUGCCCUUGACUUUGGGAUAACUUCAGGAAACUGGGGCUAAUACCGGAUAGGAGCUCCUGCUGCAUGGAGGGGGUUGGAAAGUUUCGGCGGUUGGGGAUGGACUCGCGGCUUAUCAGCUUGUUGGUGGGGUAGUGGCUUACCAAGGCUUUGACGGGUAGCCGGCCUGAGAGGGUGACCGGCCACAUUGGGACUGAGAUACGGCCCAGACUCCUACGGGAGGCAGCAGUGGGGAAUAUUGCACAAUGGGCGGAAGCCUGAUGCAGCAACGCCGCGUGCGGGAUGACGGCCUUCGGGUUGUAAACCGCUUUCGCCUGUGACGAAGCGUGAGUGACGGUAAUGGGUAAAGAAGCACCGGCUAACUACGUG
rnacentral:rRNA from 1 species